rnacentral:rRNA from 1 species
UACAGAGGGGGCAAGCGUUGUUCGGAAUUACUGGGCGUAAAGCGCGCGUAGGCGGCCUUGCAAGUUAGAGGUGAAAGCCCGGAGCUCAACUCCGGAACUGCCUUUAAAACUGCAUAGCUUGAAUCCGGGAGAGGUGAGUGGAAUUCCGAGUGUAGAGGUGAAAUUCGUAGAUAUUCGGAAGAACACCAGUGGCGAAGGCGGCUCACUGGACCGGUAUUGACGCUGAGGUGCGAAAGCGUGGGGAGCAAACAGG